GAACACUGCCCUCUCCAGAACCUGACAGCUGCUGAGGUCUUAAAUCCAUCAGGAAAGGAAAACUUGCCUCCUUUUUGCUCAACAUACACCAUUUGUCACCCUUUACCCUCUGCUCAGCCAGAUUGCGCAGCGGCACAUUCAGCCUCUGGACGCUUUGAUAAAGCGAUAAAGUCGGCGUUUGUUCUCUGUAGAGGGCUGAGAACCUGUGGAGUGCACGAUGGGGAAAAGGCCUUCUUAUAUGUAAGAUCAGAGAGAAAAUUGCCCAAAGGUGGGCAUUGGCUGCUCUCAUCAAAACACGCCUGGUCAUAGCAAGGGAAGAUGUUUCUCAAAAGAAAAAAG
rnacentral:lncRNA from 1 species